GGGAGAACUCCAAUGGCUUCUGUGUCAGCACGCCCACACCAGGCCACAACAAUGGCCGCCGCCAAUGUCCCAGUCCCUGGAGAGGUCUCACCUCCCGCCGAGAUGCACUCAGGGCCUAUCAGUGAAAGAAUCAAGAUCAUCACCUAAGAAUGAGAAGGGGUGACAACGUCUGAGCAGUUGAGGGAGAAAAGAGAAGUUCAGUUGGCUGUUCAUAUGGAGUAACUUGGAGUUGGGAAAGGACCCUUUCCUGCUGUGGCAGGUAUUGUUCUACUCUCCUCGUCAUAAUUUUAGCUACCUCAGUCCACUAAGGAUCUGCUUUAUUUUGUUUAUAACAGAAAAAUAUGAGGAUGUGCUCUAGAGGGUUCAGAUAAAUCCAGAACAUGUUUCUUCUUAGGUUCAUGAGGAGGCAUAAUUUUCAGAUUGUCUCGAAAGGAAAAUUAA